rnacentral:rRNA from 1 species
AGUGCCCUACUCUUCAACCCCUGUGAACCUACCUUACUUAUCCCCGGCGUUCUCCCCGGUGCCUGCGGGCCCGGGCUCAUGGCGGCCGUCGGGGAACCCCAGACCCUUAUUUGUACCCCUAUAUCUCAGAUUUAGGCGUAAAGCCGAAACGUGACAACUUUUGACAAUGGAUCUCUUGGCACUAGCAUCGAUGAAGAACGCAGCGAAAUGCGAUACGUAAUGUGAAUUGCAGAGCACAGUGAAUCAUCGAAUCUUUGAACGCACAUGGCGCCCGCCGGUAAUCCGGUGGGCAUGCCUGUCCGAGCGUCAUUUCAACCCUCAGAACCCCCUAGGGGCGUUACUGGUGUUGGGGAUCGGGGGCCCUUCAGGGCUCCCGUCCCUUAAAUUCAUUGGCGGCUCCGGAGUAUGUCUCCCCUGCGUAGUAUUGCAUCUCGCUUUGGUGACUGCCCCGGGCUGCCGUGGCCCUGCCACGAAACCCCCCCAGGUUGACCUCGGAUCAGGUAGGGAUACCCGCUGAACUUAAGCAUAUCAAUAAGCGGAGGAAAAGAAACCAACAGGGAUUGCCUCAGUAACGGCGAGUGAAGCGGCAACAGCUCAAAUUUGAAAUCUGGCCCCCGGGCCCGAGUUGUAAUUUGCAGAGGAUGCUUUUGACGAGGCGGCGACCGAGUCCCCUGGAAUGGGGCGCCUUAGAGGGUGAGAGCCCCGUAUGGUCGCGCUGCCGAGUCUCUGUAAAGCUCCUUCAACGAGUCGAGUAGUUUGGGAAUGCUGCUCUAAAUGGGAGGUGUAUGUCUUCUAAAGCUAAAUACCGGCUAGUGACCGAUAGCGCACAAGUAGAGUGAUCGAAAGGUGAAAAGAACUUUGAAAAGAGAGUUAAACAGUACGUGAAAUUGUCAAAAGGGAAGCAUUUAUGACCAGACUUGGGCGUGGCUGAUCACCCGGCGUUCUCGCCGGUGCACUCUGCCCGCCCAGGCCAGCAUCAGUUCGCCCCGGGGGAGAAAGGCACUGGGAAUGUAGCUCCUUCGGGAGUGUUAUAGCCCUAUGCGUAAUG